rnacentral:rRNA from 1 species
CCCUUAGAUGUUCUGGGCCGCACGCGCGCUACACUGAAUGGAUCAACGUGUUUUCCCUUCCCGAGAGGGACGGGUAACCCGCUGAACCCCAUUCGUGGUAGGGAUCGGAGCUUGCAAUUGUUCUCCGUGAACCAGGAAUUCCCAGUAAGCGCAAGUCAUAAGCUUGCGUUGAUUACGUCCCUGCCCUUUGUACACACCGCCCGUCGCUCCUACCGAUUGAACGUGCUGGUGAAGCGUUAGGACUGGCGCCGCGUGUCGGGUUCCCCUUCAACGGGGCGCCGGGAAUUUCGUUGAACCCUCCCGUUUAGAGGAAGGAGAAGUCGUAACA